rnacentral:rRNA from 1 species
UCCCUUCGGGGUGACGCUCGUGGAACGAGCGGCGGACGGGUGAGUAACACGUGGGCAACCUGCCUGUAAGAUCGGGAUAACUCCGGGAAACCGGGGCUAAUACCGGGUAAUACUUUCUUUCGCAUGAAGGAAAGUUGAAAGAUGGCUUCUCGCUAUCACUUACAGAUGGGCCCGCGGCGCAUUAGCUAGUUGGUGAGGUAACGGCUCACCAAGGCGACGAUGCGUAGCCGACCUGAGAGGGUGAUCGGCCACACUGGGACUGAGACACGGCCCAGACUCCUACGGGAGGCAGCAGUAGGGAAUCUUCCGCAAUGGACGAAAGUCUGACGGAGCAACGCCGCGUGAACGAUGAAGGUCUUCGGAUCGUAAAGUUCUGUUGUUAGGGAAGAACAAGUACCGUGCGAAUAGAGCGGUACCUUGACGGUACCUAACGAGGAAGCCCCGGCUAACUACGUGCCAGCAGCCGCGGUAAUACGUAGGGGGCAAGCGUUGUCCGGAAUUAUUGGGCGUAAAGCGCGCGCAGGCGGUUCCUUAAGUCUGAUGUGAAAGCCCACGGCUCAACCGUGGAGGGUCAUUGGAAACUGGGGAACUUGAGGACAGAAGAGGAGAGUGGAAUUCCACGUGUAGCGGUGAAAUGCGUAGAUAUGUGGAGGAACACCAGUGGCGAAGGCGACUCUCUGGUCUGUUUCUGACGCUGAGGUGCGAAAGCGUGGGUAGCAAACAGGAUUAGAUACCCUGGUAGUCCACGCCGUAAACGAUGAGUG